GACUUCACAAAAACUCACUUCACUUCUCUGUCAUCUAUCUCUCCAAUAUGAUUCCCUCCUCUUCUUAUCCUACUCUACUCUCAAAUCAAUGCUCCAAUAUUCUGCUACAUUAAAGAGGUGAUUAUUACAAAGUUAUGUACCAACUACAUUAAAAGGCAUCUCAGAUAUGCUCCACAUGGACUCAUUCAGAUACACUUGAAAAUAGAUUACACAAUGUUUGAGAUUUGGAUUGCUCAUUUUACUGAAGACUGUGGUCAGCGUCAGGUUAAAGAAAUAGUGUAGCCUAACUGCAUACAUAAGGGAAGAGACAGCUUGG
rnacentral:lncRNA from 1 species